UACAGAGGGGGCAAGCGUUGUUCGGAAUUACUGGGCGUAAAGGGCGCGUAGGCGGCCUUCUAAGUCAGACGUGAAAUCCCUCGGCUCAACCGGGGAACUGCGUCUGAGACUGGAAGGCUUGAAUCCGGGAGAGGGAUGUGGAAUUCCAGGUGUAGCGGUGAAAUGCGUAGAUAUCUGGAGGAACACCGGUGGCGAAGGCGGCAUCCUGGACCAACACUGACACUGAGGAGCGAAAGCCAGGGGAGCAAACGGG
rnacentral:rRNA from 1 species